CGAUUGAUUAGAUCUGAUAGGAGAAGGGGGAGAGGAGAGAGAUGGCGGGGAAGGAAUCGUCGUCGGUCCCGAGCACGCCUCUGCUGAAGGAUGAACUCGACAUCGUGAUCCCGACGAUACGUAACCUGGAUUUCUUGGAGAUGUGGCGGCCCUUCUUCCAGCCGUACCACCUCAUCAUCGUGCAGGACGGGGACCCGAGCAAGGAGAUUAAGGUGCCGGAGGGGUUCGACUACGAGCUCUACAACCGCAACGACAUCAACCGCAUCUUGGGGCCCAAGGCUAACUGCAUCUCCUUCAAGGACUCCGCCUGCCGCUGCUUCGGCUACAUGGUGUCCAAGAAGAAGUACAUCUACACCAUCGACGACGACUGCUUCGUAAGUCAUCGUUAAAUCCAUCAGGAAACAACUCUUCUUAUCUUCUUUUUACAGAUCUGGACUUUGCGAGUCGUUCUCUUAAGAGAUUUAGGCGUCCGUGAAAGAACGGCGAGAUUUUAAACUUAGCUUGCGCACUUACAAUUUCAUUCAAGUAUACAAAUUUGGCUUUUUUGACUCAGAACCCGCUAUGCACUGAAUUAUAUGGCUGUGUUUUGGAUAGAUCUGACCAUCUGCAGUUGAUUUAUCAGAAUCUCCGAGAGGAGGAUGUGUCGGUGUUCAGCAUUGACCUCAACUUUGAAAUGCAUAACCCAAAAUAGAUCUAGUUAUUAGCGUAGUGAUACAAUAGCAUAUGGAUCUGGGUAUAUUAGUGUGGAAAAGUUAAUGUGAGAUAUCCAAUAGUUGUUUUAUUUACACUCUCUUGAUAUAUUUUAGUUUCAUGUAUAUAUCAUCUUAAGACUGUUGAUCCUUCUUUGAUCUUUUCUUUUCACCAUUCCAUGUGGGUUGUAGCAGGUUUUACUUGCUUGAUUUAUACCACUGGUAUUCCGGCAAAAUUACUUUCAAUUUAUUAGUAUAGCUCAUGGACUUUGAUUUUCUUUGUCUCAUGUAAUCAUUUCCUUUGCACAGUUUGUAAUCAAAUGUUAUAAUCAUCAUCUGUUUCUUAGGCUUCAGGUAUCAGAUGAUCUUUCAAGCCUCUAGUUGUCAUCUUUUUAAUUUUACAAUUGGCCACUCAGAUACCAAUGUGAUAUGUGAAAUAAGAAACAGAUAAUCUUUUUUAAUUUUACAAUUGGCCUCUGGAGAACAUGAUAAUAAGGUUCUCUUCUACAUGCCUUCCCUGGUUUGUGCUCAGGUUGGUGAAAUUGAGCACAUCUGAUAUUUUUGUGUCAUAAUAAUACAAUUAGCAGGUGUUUUAUGCAUGAAAAGUUUGGAUUGUUUUUGAAAGAUCUGACCUCUUCGUGUUCUUUAGUUGCUUUUGCUUCUGCAUUUGAGCUCCCAUGGUCCUAAAUCACUGUCAAUUGUCAUCUUAAAUAGGUUGCUAAGGAUCCCUCUGACAAAGAGAUCAAUGCACUUGAACAGCACAUCAAGAAUCUGCUAUCCCCAUCCACUCCAUACUUCUUCAACACCUUGUAUGAUCCCUACCGAGUAGGUGCAGACUUUGUUCGUGGGUAUCCUUUCAGCCUCCGAGAAGGUGCUCCGACAGCUGUUUCUCAUGGCCUUUGGCUUAACAUUCCUGACUAUGAUGCUCCCACGCAGCUUGUCAAGCCUCGUGAGAGGAACUCCAGGUAACAAAUGCUGUGAUAUCUGUGGUUACUAGACUUAAAGACUCUACAUUUUUACCACAAACUUAGUCUGCAACUGCUGUCUUGGGUUUAUCAGGUAUGUCGAUGCAGUUCUUACAAUCCCCAAGGGAACAUUGUUUCCAAUGUGCGGAAUGAAUCUGGCCUUCGACCGUGACCUCAUCGGCCCUGCAAUGUACUUUGGACUGAUGGGUGAUGGCCAGCCUAUCGGGCGCUACGACGAUAUGUGGGCCGGAUGGUGCACCAAGGUCAGUCUCUCCGCUCAAAUUCAUCCUUCUAAUCUGUUAUAAAGCACAGAUCAAUUGUCAUCUUGUACUCUCAGAUCAACAAUUUUCCUUUCUGUUUUCUUCUUCUGGUACACUCGGUUUCUCUUCUUUCCUUCAUGCUUUAUGCUGCUCUGAAGCAUCAUAUAUCAGUUUUCAGCAUUUCUCAGUUCUGAUUUCUCUUUAUACAAGUGAAGAUCUCUCUCUUAUUGUGCUCAGGAACUGCAAUUAUUCAAGCAGUCCAAAUGACAUCUAAAUCCAUGAAUUUUCAGGUGAUCUGUGAUCACUUGGGACUGGGAGUCAAGACUGGCUUGCCCUACAUCUGGCACAGCAAGGCCAGCAACCCAUUUGUCAACCUGAAGAAAGAGUACAAGGGGAUCUUCUGGCAAGAGGAGCUGAUCCCCUUCUUCCAAUCUGUUGCCCUGCCCAAGGACUGCACCAGUGUGCAGAAGUGCUACAUUGAGCUGUCCAAGCAGGUAAGAGAAAAGCUCGGGAAGAUCGACCCCUACUUCACCAAGCUUGCAGAUGCAAUGGUUACAUGGAUUGAGGCUUGGGAUGAGCUCAACCCAUCCGGAGCUGCUGCCGGAGUGGCCAACGGCACGGCCAAGUGAAAGUAGAAUAGCAAGCUAGCCAUAUAUCAUAUGUUUGCUUUCUCAGUAGUAGUGUCAUGGAUUUAUGCUUAUUAGAUGUGAGUCUAAUUUAUACAAUUUUCCUCCCCUUAAUUAUAUUUUGGGCUUUCAUGCCAAGCUUGAGAUACAUUCUUGCUGUUGGGUGAUUGUAAUCUUUUUCAUACUUGAUUUGACAAUAAAAAGAUCUAUAUUGCUUUUGGAAGCAGUUGGGCGUCGCUUCAGCAUCA
rnacentral:lncRNA from 1 species